rnacentral:lncRNA from 1 species
GGAGAUGACAAUUAGGAAAUUUCAAAAUUUAAACGCUUUCUUAUUUAAUCUGUACCAUGGUGUAUUAGAAACUAAUGUGCAGCUGGGCAGUGGUGGCUCACGCCUUUAAUCCCAGCACUCGGGAGGCAGAGGCAGGCAGAUCUCUGUGAGUUUGAGACCAGCCAGGUCUACCAGAGCUAGUUCCAAGACAGCCUCAAAAGCCACAGAGAAACCCUGUCUGGAAAAACCAAAACAAAAAACAAAAAACAAAAAACAAAAACAAACCCAAAACAAAAAACAAAACUAAUGUGCUUCUUUAUUAUGUCCAGAAAGUGUCAUAUGUCUCUUCUAAUACACAGGUCUUACACUGUCAAAGCCAGAGCUGCUCAACUCUCUUGAAGACAGCGAAGAACCCUGGAAUGUGAACAUGGGAGAGACAGAAGACAAAGAACAAGGGCAUAUUGACAUUUGAGGAUGUGGUCAUAGACUUCUCUCAGGAGGAAUGGGAAUGCCUAGAUUCUGAACAGAGGGCUUUGUACCGGAUGUCAUGUUGGAGAACUACAGCAACCUAGUCUCUGUGGGUCUUACAAAACAAGAGCUGAUAAACUCUCUUGAACAAAGCAAAGAGCCUUGGAAUGUGAACACAGGAGAGACAGAAGACAAAGAGCAAGUGAUGGGAUCCUGUGGCUUCAGGGUACUGUGUUUUUCAAGGAUGUGGCCAUAGACUUCUCUCAGAAGGAGUGGGAAUGCCUGACCUCUGCACAGAGGGCUUUGUACAGAGAUGUCAUGUUGGAGAACUACAACAAUCUGGUUUCUGUGGGUCUGUCUGUGUCAAAACCAGAGCUGAUCAACUCUCUUGAACAAAGCAAACAGUUCUGGAAUGGGAACACAGGAGAAUCAGAAGGCAAAGAACAAGUUCUAUGUUACCAUCAAACACACGACAAAUCUUCACAGGAAGACAUAUCAGAACCUAUCCAGAA